rnacentral:rRNA from 1 species
UCGACGAUGAUCCCGCUUGCUGGGGGAUUAGUGGCGAACGGGUGAGUAACACGUGAGUAACCUGCCCUUAACUCUGGGAUAAGCCUGGGAAACUGGGUCUAAUACCGGAUAUGACUCCUCAUCGCAUGGUGGGGGGUGGAAAGCUUUAUUGUGGUUUUGGAUGGACUCGCGGCCUAUCAGCUUGUUGGUGAGGUAAUGGCUCACCAAGGCGACGACGGGUAGCCGGCCUGAGAGGGUGACCGGCCACACUGGGACUGAGACACGGCCCAGACUCCUACGGGAGGCAGCAGUGGGGAAUAUUGCACAAUGGGCGAAAGCCUGAUGCAGCGACGCCGCGUGAGGGAUGACGGCCUUCGGGUUGUAAACCUCUUUCAGUAGGGAAGAAGCGAAAGUGACGGUACCUGCAGAAGAAGCGCCGGCUAACUACGUGCCAGCAGCCGCGGUAAUACGUAGGGCGCAAGCGUUAUCCGGAAUUAUUGGGCGUAAAGAGCUCGUAGGCGGUUUGUCGCGUCUGCCGUGAAAGUCCGGGGCUCAACUCCGGAUCUGCGGUGGGUACGGGCAGACUAGAGUGAUGUAGGGGAGACUGGAAUUCCUGGUGUAGCGGUGGAAUGCGCAGAUAUCAGGAGGAACACCGGUGGCGAAGGCGGGUCUCUGGGCAGUAACUGACGCUGAGGAGCGAAAGCGUGGGGAGCGAACAGGAUUAGAUACCCUGGUAGUCCACGCCGUANACGGUGGGUACUAGGUGUGGGUUCNUUCCUUGGGAUCCGUGCCGUAGCUAACGCAUUAAGUACC